GUGCCUUAAACUAUGAGUAAGGAAAAUAAUGAUUUCAGGUACCGCCUGAGUCCUUACCGCUUAUGUUAGAUGAAUUUUUGAGCAAGUAAAGGUUGCUAUCUAAGGUGACCUGCCCACUUUGUGGGAUGCCUAGGUAAUGCAAUCUGCCCA
ensembl:snRNA Rnu12-2 RNA, U12 small nuclear 2